rnacentral:rRNA from 1 species
GACAGAGGGUGCAAGCGUUGUUCGGAAUUACUGGGCGUAAAGCGCACGUAGGCGGCUUAGCAAGUCGGAUGUGAAAUCCCUCGGCUCAACCAAGGAAGUGCAUCCGAAACUGCUGAGCUUGAGUACGAAAGAGGAUCGCGGAAUUCCCGGUGUAGAGGUGAAAUUCGUAGAUAUCGGGAGGAACACCAGUGGCGAAGGCGGCGAUCUGGGUCGAUACUGACGCUGAGGUGCGAAAGCGUGGGGAGCAAACAGG